rnacentral:lncRNA from 13 species
CGAUAAGUCACCCAUGGUCUGGGGCUUGGCCUGAUCAAAAGGUAAAACAGACAACCUGAGGAAAAUGAGAUAUUCUAGGAGGAAGAUAUUGCGAUAGCUGAUUGGUCAUCCGGAGAUGGGAAAAUCUUGAUUCAUGGGAGUCGGUCUGCAGGAGCACAGAGAAAGAAUACCAACAAGAGUACGACAGUUAGUCUUAGAAGUCUUGACCUUGCAUGGAUCAAGAAUGGUGUUCUCUAACCAGAGGUGGAAAAACACGUUUCUAAGAUUUAUUCACCAAUACUGUUAUUUCUCAGAGUUCUUCUAAAUCUUCUACCUAGAAAUAUGCAAAGUGAAGACAAUAACUAGUUACCUAAAUAAUGUCACCAUGGACUUCUAAGGAAUGCCUUGAAGAGGACACCCAACCCUAAGAAGCAGUGAUUUGAGAGUUUGAAUUAGAAAUUGUUUAGACUGGGCUAUAGACAGCUUUAAUAAAGUCAAAUUAUUUGCAUGCA